rnacentral:lncRNA from 1 species
GAAAAAGUGAAGUAGGAUAAUUCAGAGGUUGUUGCAGCAACGGAGGCCUACAGAGGUAAAAACCCAACCGGUCAGAUUCAGUGAGAAAGAAGCAAGGAGUGUGAUAUUAAGGGACAUUCAUCCACAUGGAAGGAAACAUCCAGAGUGGACAAUAUGUGUCCCUCCAACAAGGAGCCUGAUGGAAAUUUGAAAAUAAAACAUGGCAACCUAAUUGAUCUUCAGGAAGAUGCAUUGUGUCUCUGGUGUGCAAUCAGCUUCAAGGAUCCGGAUGUUAUCUCAGGAUGAAAUAAAAAUACCUUUCAAAG